AAAACUAUCCUCGCCUCCCCUAUAUAUAGUUCCAUCUCCUUCCCUUAAUCCAUCACAUCGCAAGAGAAAGGAAAGAUGACAGAUGAUUACUCUGAUGCGGGAAAGCGUUCGUGGCCGGAGCUAGUGGGAAUAAAAGGAGAAGUGGCAG